CAUUAGCGGGGGGAAAGAAUGCAGUCGAGCGGAAGUCUGCGGGUAGCAAUAUUUGCGGACUUUAGCGGCGAAAGGGUGCGUAACACGUGGGUAAUUUGCCGUGAAGUUGGGGAUAACCUGUCGAAAGACGAGCUAAUACCGAAUGUGAUCCUGGCAGGCAGCUUGUUGGGAUUAAAGCUGGGGACCUCGCUUGCGAGGCCUGGCGCUUCACGAUAAGCCCGCGCCCUAUCAGCUAGUUGGUGAGGUAACGGCCCACCAAGGCUAAGACGGGUAGCUGGUCUGAGAGGACGACCAGCCACACUGGAACUGAGACACGGUCCAGACACCUACGGGUGGCAGCAGUCGAGAAUCUUUCACAAUGGGGGAAACCCUGAUGGAGCGACGCCGCGUGGGGGAUGAAUGGCUUCGGCCCGUAAACCCCUGUCAUCUGCGAUCAAACCUUUUCGGUGAACAGCCGAAAAGCUGAUAGUAGUAGAAGAGGAAGGGACGGCUAACUCUGUGCCAGCAGCCGCGGUAAUACAGAGGUCCCAAGCGUUGUUCGGAUUUACUGGGCGUAAAGGGUGCGUAGGUGGCGGAGCAAGUUCGAUGUGAAAUCUCUGAGCUCAACUCAGAAACGGCAUUGAAUACUGCUUUGCUCGAGGGUUGGAGGGGGGACUGGAAUUCUCGGUGUAGCGGUGAAAUGCGUAGAUAUCGAGAGGAACACCAGUGGCGAAGGCGAGUCCCUGGACAACUCCUGACACUGAGGCACGAAAGCUAGGGGAGCAAACAGGAUUAGAUACCCUGGUAGUCCUAGCCCUAAACUGUGCACGUUUGCUGUGGGCGGAUUCGACCCCGUCCGUGGCGAAGCUAACGCGUUAAACGUGCCGCCUGGGGAGUACGGUCGCAAGAUUAAAACUCAAAGGAAUUGACGG
rnacentral:rRNA from 1 species